rnacentral:rRNA from 1 species
UACGGAGGGUGCAAGCGUUGUCCGGAAUCACUGGGCGUAAAGGGCGCGUAGGCGGCUCAUGAAGGCUGUGGUGAAAGUCCGGGGCUCAACCUCGGAUCGGCCGUGGCGACUCGUGGGCUGGAGCACUGUAGAGGCGGGUGGAAUUCCGGGUGUAGCGGUGGAAUGCGUAGAGAUCCGGAAGAACACCAGUGGCGAAGGCGGCCCGCUGGGCAGUGGCUGACGCUGAGGCACGAAAGCCAGGGGAGCAAACGGG